rnacentral:lncRNA from 1 species
UUUCCUGUAAAUGGAACCAUGUAGUACGUAUCCUCUUGGGGCUGGUUUCUUUCACGUAGGGCAGUGUUUCCAAGGCUCCUCCCACUGUGCCAUGUAUCCGUCCAUUUCUUUUGACUGUUAGGCUGUAUUUUUAGCUGUACAGUACAGUUGGGAAAACCAAGACACACAGAGGAGAGAUGACUUUCCUAUGGUCACGGAGCCUUUCAUAGAGGGAACUAGGUUUCCAACGCCAUCUUUUGCCCAAUGCUAACUCUGCUAUGAGCCGGACUCUGAGACAAUCGCACUAAUAGUAAUUUAUGGAACAUCUUUUAUGGAUCAACCCGUGUACUAAGUGUUCUAUAAAUUUGUUACCUCCUGUGCCUAUAUAAUCGGAUUUCGAUUGGGAAAUCUUGUAACCACAACUGGGCGGUGACAUUUUUGUUUUAAUGUCUUCCAUUUGCUCACUUCUGGUUUCAUUGGUCCACUAAGGCUCUAGGAUCUUCCUAAGCAAAUGAUGCUGAACAUCGUAUUGUUGUUCCUUCUGCAGGAGCCGGACACCACUCCCAUCUGUGGAAAAUUAGUAACAUCUCACAGGCGCCCUUGCUUCUUCCAGGACGCCGAGCAUCAUGGUUUCUCAUUUCAUGGGGUCGUUCAGUGUCCUGGGUUCCUUCCUGCUGCUUGGACUCCAGUUCGUCUGCCCACAGCCCUCCACUGAACACAGAAAGGUAAGCCAUGGCCGUUCAGAGGCUUUGCUUCUCUGCACCAAGGGACUGGGGUCCCUCCAGGCAUCACCCUGAGUUUGGCUCUCUUUGGAGGGGAGUCACCACUGAUCUUAAGAGGAAGCACUGUUUAUAGAAUGUUCCCCAGUCCUGUC